UAUGCACCAUUCUCUUCAGUACGAAAGGACCGAGAAAAUAGGACCUACGCCUCUGGCAAGUCCUUAACCCCAUGAAGCAAUAUCAAUCCUACAGUACCCCACCACCCAAGAACAGGGC
rnacentral:rRNA from 1 species